AUACGUAGGGGGCGAGCGUUGUCCGGAAUGAUUGGGCGUAAAGGGCGCGUAGGCGGCCCGGUAAGUCUGGAGUGAAAGUCCUGUUUUUAAGAUGGGAAUUGCUUUGGAUACUGUCGGGCUUGAGUGCAGGAGAGGUAAGUGGAAUUCCCAGUGUAGCGGUGAAAUGCGUAGAGAUUGGGAGGAACACCAGUGGCGAAGGCGACUUACUGGACUGUAACUGACGCUGAGGCGCGAAAGUGUGGGGAGCAAACAGGAUUAGAUACCCUGGUAGUCCACACUGUAAACGAUGAAUGCUAGAUGUAGGGGGUAUCGACCCCUUCUGUGCCGCAGUCAACACAAUAAGCAUUCCGCCUGGGGGGUUCGGCCGCAAGGUUGAAACUCAAAUGAAUUGACGGGG
rnacentral:rRNA from 1 species